rnacentral:lncRNA from 1 species
CACCUUUCUUCUUGAUGUAUGGAGCUGAAGCUGUCUUGCCGAGUGUUCUCCUUCAUAAUUCUCCCCGUGUGGAUUUAUAUUCAGAAGCUGAAGCUGAACAGGCGCGGCAGGACGGAGUGGAUCUCUUGGAAGAGGAGCGUGAACUGGCCUUAAUUCGGUCGACUGUAUACCAACAAGAUCUUCGUCGCUUCCAUGCAAAGCAUGUCAGGAGUCGGGCGUUCCACGAAGGCGAUAUGGUUCUCUGAGUGGAUAAACAGAGACCUCACAAGCUAGCCCCUACGUGCGAAGGACCAUUCGUCGUCACCAUGGUACUGAACAAUGGAGCCUACCAUCUUUACAACCUCAAGAAGAGAGCCGAUGAACCCCGUGCUUGGAAUGCAGAUGUACUCUGACGUUUUUAUGCUUGACAACCGAUGGGAUUGAUGUAAUAAGAGAGCUUACUGAACAAUGUUGCUUGUCAAAGUCAUAAUUUCUACAAUUUGUGUCGAUUCCGAUCGAGCAGUUUCACACCCAAAAUAUACUCCGAGUGAAGAGCAAUCCUCUCACUCGGGGGCUUAGUCGCGAACAUGUUUUUGCCUAAGUUAAAAACCCUUCCGAGUGGAUAGCAACCUAUUCACUCGGAUGCUUAGCUGCGAACCAGUCUUCGCCUAAGUAUAGAAUAUAUUCUGAGUGAAAAGUAAUCCUCUCACUCGGGGGCUUAGCCGCGAACAUGUUUUCGCCUAAGUUGAAAUCCCUUCCGAGUGGAUAGCAACCUAUUCACUCGGAUGCUUAGCUGCGAACCAGUCUUCGCCUAAGUAUAGCCUAAGUAUAGAAUAUACUCCGAGUGAAGAGCAAUCCUCUCACUCGGGGUCUUAGCUGCGAACAUGUUUUCGCCUAAGUUAAAAACCCUUCCGAAUGGAUAGCAACCUAUUCACUCGGAUGCUUAGCUGCGAACCAGUCUUCGCCUAAACAUAGAAAUUACUCCGAGUGAAGAGCAAUCCUUUCACUCGGGGGCUUAGCCGCGAAUCAAUCGCCUAAGUAAAAAAUCUUUCCGAAUGAAUAGCAACCUAUUCACUCGGGAACAUUCAAAAACCAAACAAACUCAGCCAAAUGCAAAUAAAUUCGAAGAAAUCCAGCACGGAUUAAAGUCGUCCAUGCAGACGAAGGUACUCGGGUUCAACACCCGAACGAAGUUCUAAUGGAUACAGUAACACUCGGCAUACCGAUGCGAAUUAAAGUUUGGACGGUAAUCAAAGUUCCUUCUCAAGGCUCACCAGGACUCG